rnacentral:rRNA from 1 species
AGACGUCUACAUAGAUACCCGGGUAGUCCCAGCCGUAAACUAUGCGCGUUAGGUGUAUCGGUGACCACGAGUCACCGAGGUGCCGAAGGGAAACCGUGAAACGUGCCGCCUGGGAAGUACGGUCGCAAGGCUGAAACUUAAAGGAAUUGGCGGGGAGCACCACAACGGGUGGAGCCUGCGGUUUAAUUGGACUCAACGCCGGGAAGCUCACCGGAUAAGACAGCGGAAUGAUUGCCGGGCUGAAGACUCUGCAUGACUAGCUG